GGGCUGCAGGAAUUCGAUAUCCAUGCAUCCUACGGGAGGCAGCAGUGGGGAAUAUUGCGCAAUGGGCGGAAGCCUGACGCAGCGACGCCGCGUGGGGGAUGACGGCCUUCGGGUUGUAAACCUCUUUCGCCAGGGACGAAGCUUUAUUGUGACGGUACCUGGAGAAGAAGCACCGGCCAACUACGUGCCAGCAGCCGCGGUAACACGUAGGGUGCGAGCGUUGUCCGGAUUUAUUGGGCGUAAAGAGCUCGUAGGCGGUGUGUCACGUCGAUCGUGAAAACUUGGGGCUUAACUCUGAGCGUGCGGUCGAUACGGGCAUCACUUGAGUUCGGCAGGGGAGACUGGAAUUCCUGGUGUAGCGGUGAAAUGCGCAGAUAUCAGGAGGAACACCGGUGGCGAAGGCGGGUCUCUGGGCCGAUACUGACGCUGAGGAGCGAAAGCAUGGGGAGCGAACAGGAUUAGAUACCCUGGUAGUCCAUGCCGUAAACGUUGGGCGCUAGGUGUGGGGACCAUUCCACGGUUUCUGUGCCGCAGCAACGCAUUAAGCGCCCCGCCUGGGGAGUACGGCCGCAAGGCU
rnacentral:rRNA from 1 species